rnacentral:rRNA from 1 species
GACGAACGCUGGCGGCGUGCCUAAUACAUGCAAGUCGAGCGAGCGGAACUAACAGAUUUACUUCGGUAAUGACGUUAGGAAAGCGAGCGGCGGAUGGGUGAGUAACACGUGGGGAACCUGCCCCAUAGUCUGGGAUACCACUUGGAAACAGGUGCUAAUACCGGAUAAGAAAGCAGAUCGCAUGAUCAGCUUUUAAAAGGCGGCGUAAGCUGUCGCUAUGGGAUGGCCCCGCGGUGCAUUAGCUAGUUGGUAAGGUAAAGGCUUACCAAGGCGAUGAUGCAUAGCCGAGUUGAGAGACUGAUCGGCCACAUUGGGACUGAGACACGGCCCAAACUCCUACGGGAGGCAGCAGUAGGGAAUCUUCCACAAUGGACGCAAGUCUGAUGGAGCAACGCCGCGUGAGUGAAGAAGGUUUUCGGAUCGUAAAGCUCUGUUGUUGGUGAAGAAGGAUAGAGGUAGUAACUGGCCUUUAUUGACGGU